rnacentral:rRNA from 1 species
CUGGUUGAUCCUGCCAGUAGUCAUAUGCUUGUCUCAAAGAUUAAGCCAUGCAUGUCUAAGUUCAAGCGAAAAUAAAGUGAAACCGCGAAUGGCUCAUUACAUCAGUUAUGGUUCCUUAGAUCGCACUUACUACUUGGAUAACUGUGGUAAUUCUAGAGCUAAUACAUGCACUGAGCUCCAACCCUCGUGGAAGGAGCGCUUUUAUUAGAUCAAAGCCAAUCGGGCCUUCGGGUCCGUACCGUUGGCGACUCUGAAUAACUUUGCUGAUCGCAUGGUCUCGUACCGGCGACGUAUCUUUCAAGUGUCUGCCUUAUCAACUGUCGAUGGUAGGUUAUGCGCCUACCAUGGUUGUAACGGGUAACGGGGAAUCAGGGUUCGAUUCCGGAGAGGGAGCCUGAGAAACGGCUACCACAUCCAAGGAAGGCAGCAGGCGCGCAAAUUACCCACUCCCGGCACGGGGAGGUAGUGACGAAAAAUAACGAUACGGAACUCACAUGAGGCUCCGUAAUCGGAAUGAGUACACUUUAAAUCCUUUAACGAGGAUCUAUUGGAGGGCAAGUCUGGUGCCAGCAGCCGCGGUAAUUCCAGCUCCAAUAGCGUAUAUUAAAGUUGUUGCGGUUAAAAAGCUCGUAGUUGGAUCUCGGUUUCGGGCGGGUGGUGCGCCUUGCGGUGUUUACUGUCCGCCCGGACGAUUUUGUUGGUUCGUUCGUGGUUCUCUUAACCGAGUGCCACGGGUGGCCAGCACGUUUACUUUGAAAAAAUUGGAGUGCUCAAAGCAGGCGCUACAGCCUGAACAUUAGUGCAUGGAAUAAUGGAAUAGGACCUCGGUUCUAUUUCGUUGGCUUUCGGAGUCGAGGUAAUGAUUAAUAGGAACAGACGGGGGCAUUCGUACUGCGACGUUAGAGGUGAAAUUCUUGGAUCGUCGCAAGACGAACUACUGCGAAAGCAUUUGCCAAGAAUGUUUUCAUUAAUCAAGAACGAAAGUUAGAGGUUCGAAGGCGAUCAGAUACCGCCCUAGUUCUAACCAUAAACGAUGCCGACCGGCGAUCCGCCGUCGUUAAUUGAAUGACUCGGCGGGCAGCCUCCGGGAAACCAGAGUGUUUGGGUUCCGGGGGAAGUAUGGUUGCAAAGCUGAAACUUAAAGGAAUUGACGGAAGGGCACCACCAGGAGUGGAGCCUGCGGCUUAAUUUGACUCAACACGGGAAAUCUCACCAGGCCCGGACACCGGAAGGAUUGACAGAUUGAGAGCUCUUUCUUGAUUCGGUGGGUGGUGGUGCAUGGCCGUUCUUAGUUGGUGGAGCGAUUUGUCUGGUUAAUUCCGAUAACGAACGAGACUCUGGCCUACUAACUAGAUGUAGGAUCCCUUUGUGGGUCCGUCACUGCUUCUUAGAGGGACGGGCGGCUUUUAGCCGCACGAGAAUGAGCAAUAACAGGUCUGUGAUGCCCUUAGAUGUUCUGGGCUGCACGCGCGCUACACUGAAGGAAUCAGCGUGUGUUCCCUACCCGAAAGGGUUGGGAAACCCGUUGAACCUCCUUCGUGAUGGGGAUUGGGGAUUGCAAUUAUUCCCCAUGAACGAGGAAUUCCCAGUAGGCGCGAGUCAUAAGCUUGCGUCGAUUACGUCCCUGCCCUUUGUACACACCGCCCGUCGCUACUACCGAUCGAGUGAUUUAGUGAGGACUUCGGACUGGUCUUCGUGGUGGCUCUCGAGUCAUGACGGAGUUCCGGAAAGAUGCCCAAACUUGAUCACUUAGAGGAAGUAAAAGUCGUAACAAGGUUUCCGUAGGUGAACCUGCA